rnacentral:tRNA from 1 species
GCGUUCGUGGCGUAAGAGCAACGCGCCGGUCUGCCAGUCCGGAGUCGGGAGUGCGAGUCUCCCCGAGCGCACCA